rnacentral:rRNA from 1 species
AUGAACCCUCCGUCGCCAACCCAAUGCUCCAGCUCUCCGUCCCCGCGCGCCACCGUCGAGCCUACCGGCGCCCAUUAUUCCUCGCCGGACCCAAGGCGCUCCGCCACCGCCGCGGGCACGCCCCCGCGUGGCGCCAGCGACGACGCGUGCGUCGCCAUCAGUGACGUCGACGCCUUCGCGCGCACCAUCGCCGCCAUCCGGUCCAAGCCCCAGGCGGCGGCGGCGGCCUCGCCCUCCUCCGACCACCUCGCCUCCGUGAUGUCCCACUACGCGGCCAGGUGGCUCCCGGAUGUUGCCGCGUCGUCCCCCUCGGGGCGCUUCCAGCUGCCCCCGGAGAGCCCCACCGCCACAUGGCUCAAGAAGCGGCUCCUGCUCGAGUCCCUCGUCGCCGCGCUCCCGCCCGACGACGCCGCCGGCGAAGACAGGGACGACGGCAUCGCGUGCGACUUCCUCCUCCGCCUGCUCCGCGCCGGGAGCAUGGUGGGCGCCGACGCGGCGCUGUUGGGAGACCUCGAGGCCCGCGCGGCGCGGCGUCUCGACCAGGCGUCUCUCGGCGCCGUCAUGAUCCCAGCGUUCGGCCUGCAGGGCCUCGGCAACGGCACCGCCGCCCGCGAUCGCCACCACCCGACGACGACGCUGCUGGACGUGCCCCUAGUGCUUCGUCUGGUGCGCGGGUUCCUGCGGGAGGGCGCCAAGGCGGGCGGCGGCGGCGCGGCGGCCGCCAGGGUGGCGAAGCUGGUGGACGCGUACCUCUCCGAGGCGGCGCUGGAGGCCGGGCUGCGGCCGGCGGAGUUCGAGGAGCUCGCGCGCGCCGUGCCCGCGUACGCCCGCGCCGCCGACGACGGGCUGUACCGCGCCGUGGACACCUCCCUUAAGGCGCACCCGCACGCCAGCAAGGAGGAGCGGCGGUCGCUGUGCCGGCUGAUCGACGCGCGCAAGCUGUCGACGGAGGCGGCGGCGCACGCCGUGCAGAACGACCGCCUUCCGGUGCGCUGCGUGGUGCAGGUGCUCUUCUCCGAGCACGGCAGCAAGCUCAGCCGCCUCGCCGACUGGAGCGGCUCCUUCCGCUCCCUGCAGAACAGGAGCCCCGGCGCCCUUGAUCUCACCUCCUCCUCGUCCGCCGCCGCCGCCCGGUGCCCGUCCAAACGCGAGGUCGUCUCGCAGCACCACGAGCUCCGUCGCCUCCGCGAGGACGUCUCUCGGCUCCAGGUGCAAUGCCACGCGCUGCAGGCGCAGGUGGAGCGGCUGAGCUCCGACAGGCGGCGGCGGGGGCUGUUCAAGUGGGGAGCGUUCCUGUUCGGUGGCGGCGGCGGCGAGGACGCCGCGAGGGUGGAUGACUCCGACAGCGGCAUGGAAAGGACGCCGCUCAGCGGGUCCAAGAAGGCCCGCGCUGCCGCUGCCGCCGCGUUGACGCCCGCGACGGGCACGCCCACCGUGGCGAGGUGGCGCAGGUCGCACUCGUGA